CCAGCAGCCGCGGUAAUUCCAGCUCCAAUAGCGUAUGUUAAAGUUGUUGCGGUUAAAAAGCUCGUAGUUGGAUCUCGGCACCCCUCUGCCGGUCGCCUGUACGGGCGGACUGGCACGAUCGGGGUGUGUUACUUUUUGGCGGAGGCCGGGAGGUGCUCUUCACCGAGUGUCUCCAGGUGCCGUCAGGUUUACUUUGAAAAAAUUAGAGUGCUCAGAGCAGGCCUUACACGCCUGAAUAGUCGUGCAUGGAAUAAUGGAAUAGGACGUCGUUUCUAUUUUGUUGGUUUUCGGAAAUCGACGUAAUGAUUAAUAGGGACAGUCGGGGGCAUUAGUACUCAAACGAC
rnacentral:rRNA from 1 species